CGCAGAAAUUCUAAUUCUUCGUCUUCUUCUUCUUCUUCUUCUUCUUCUUCUUCUUCUUCUUCUUCUUCUUCUUCUUCUUCUUCUUCUUCUUCUUCUUCUUCUUCUUCUUCCUCUUCUUCUGCUUCUUCUUCGUCUUCCUCUCAGUCCCAGCUAGACGCCGUGAGGCUCUCUAGGCUCCACGCCGGUGCCUUAGGGGCCUCAGCCUCUGUCCACAGCAGCCGACCGGGCGGGGAGAACCGCGACGGGGCCCGGCCCCCCACCAGGGCCCGACGCGCCUCGUCCGACGAAAUCAGCCGCGCCCACGUGGUCAUCCCUGAGAGCCGAAUCCCCACCAUACCCACCAUCCCGGAGCUCACAGAGUCCUUCGACAAGAGAUUCUCUCUGGGGAAGAAGACCCAAGUCUCCCUGAACGAGUCGGACAGCGUGUGUCUGAUCUGUGCGGAGGAGCUUCGUAGCGGCCGAACUGGGGUACUGGAGGUCCACUGCAAGCAUCGCUUCCACAGGGAGGCAUCGCGGCACGGGCGCUUGCGCAGCAGCAGCAGCGCAGCGGCGGAAUGCGACGCUUGGAGGAGUGCGAAAGAGGAGUGCCGGAGGGCAUCCAAGGAGACGGACUGUCUCAUGCCCCACCGCCAGUUCUCACUGCGAAGACACCGCUGACCGGUCACGCCGAUGACAUCACACAUCGAUGACGUCUGACAGCGCUAGAGCUCGCUGGAACGUGACAGCGCAGUGGAAGAAAUAUUUGGGCAAUGCCCAAAUAUGGAGAUUCCUUUGGAACUUGUCGAGUUAUUGGAAACUGCCACACCUGGACAGAGCUAACAACAUUUUUUUGCCACAGUAAAUGUGACUAAUGAAAUGACCGUAGAAUUAUAGAAAUUCUCUCAAUGACAAGAGACAAAUAAAAUGAGGAAAAUACUGCAAGUGACAUCUCUGGUUUAAUUUGGUAUUUGAUUUUUUGGUUUGUUUUAUUAGCAAUAUAUAGGUAUAUAUAACAAUAGCUAGUAGGAAAUUCAUAUGUUACCAUGUUGUCCCAAUAUUACUCAAUAAAUGUCAAUAAAUACAGCGGGAUGUCGUACUUCGUUUGAGUUGCAGGUAUGUUGUUGUCCUUUUUGCUCAGUCUCAGCAUUAAAAACGAUAUGUUAAUGAUACAAUAUAUUUUGGUUUAUAGUGUUCUGUGUAUCAUUCAAAUCAACCAAUAAGCUAAUAAAGAAAUGUAAAGGAAUUUAAACAUUUGGUCUGAUAGACUAAUUAUUCUGUAGGGGAAUCAAUUCUGACAUUUUCAAUGAACGACAAAACUUUACGAAUCAUUGCAAGAAUCACAUUUCUAAUCCUUUUGGAUCCUAAU
rnacentral:lncRNA from 1 species